rnacentral:rRNA from 1 species
CGGCGGACGGGUGAGUAACGCGUGGGUAACCUGCCUCAUACAGGGGAUAACAGUUAGAAAUGACUGCUAAUACCGCAUAAGACCACGGUACCGCAUGGUACAGUGGUAAAAACUCCGGUGGUAUGAGAUGGACCCGCGUCUGAUUAGGUAGUUGGUGGGGUAACGGCCUACCAAGCCGACGAUCAGUAGCCGACCUGAGGGGGUGACCGGCCACAUUGGGACUGAGACACGGCCCAG